rnacentral:rRNA from 1 species
AACGUAGGUGGCGAGCGUUAUCCGGAUUUACUGGGCGUAAAGGGUGUGCAGGCGGGCUGUUAAGUGGUGUAUGAAAUAUCCCGGCUCAACCGGGAGAGGUUUAUGCCAGACUGGCAGUCUAGAGAGCGAGAGAGGGACGUGGAAUUCCGGGUGUAGUGGUGAAAUGCGUAGAGAUGUGGAGGAACACCGGUGGCGAAGGCGGCUUCCUGGACCGACACUGACGCUGAGGCGCGAAAGCUAGGGGGAGCAAACGGG